rnacentral:rRNA from 1 species
UAGGGAAUCUUCGGCAAUGGGGGCAACCCUGACCGAGCAACGCCGCGUGAGUGAAGAAGGUUUUCGGAUCGUAAAGCUCUGUUGUAAGAGAAGAACGUGUGUGAGAGUGGAAAGUUCACACAGUGACGGUAACUUACCAGAAAGGGACGGCUAACUACGUGCCAGCAGCCGCGGUAAUACGUAGGUCCCGAGCGUUGUCCGGAUUUAUUGGGCGUAAAGCGAGCGCAGGCGGUUUAAUAAGUCUGAAGUUAAAGGCAGUGGCUUAACCAUUGUUCGCUUUGGAAACUGUUAAACUUGAGUGCAGAAGGGGAGAGUGGAGUUCCAUGUGUAGCGGUGAAAUGCGUAGAUAUAUGGGGGAGAACCGGUGGCGAAAGCGGCUCUCUGGUCUGUAACUUACGCUGAGGCUCGAAAGCGUAGGGAGCAAACAGG